UGGGGAAUUUUGGACAAUGGGGGAAACCCUGAUCCAGCCAUCCCGCGUGUGCGAUGAAGGCCUUCGGGUUGUAAAGCACUUUUGGCAGGAAAGAAACGUCGCGGGUUAAUACCCCGCGAAACUGACGGUACCUGCAGAAUAAGCACCGGCUAACUACGUGCCAGCAGCCGCGGUAAUACGUAGGGUGCAAGCGUUAAUCGGAAUUACUGGGCGUAAAGCGUGCGCAGGCGGUUCGGAAAGAAAGAUGUGAAAUCCCAGAGCUUAACUUUGGAACUGCAUUUUUAACUACCGGGCUAGAGUGUGUCAGAGGGAGGUGGAAUUCCGCGUGUAGCAGUGAAAUGCGUAGAUAUGCGGAGGAACACCGAUGGCGAAGGCAGCCUCCUGGGAUAACACUGACGCUCAUGCACGAAAGCGUGGGGAGCAAACAGGAUUAGAUACCCUGGUAGUCCACGCCCUAAACGAUGUCAACUAGCUGUUGGGGCCUUCGGGCCUUGGUAGCGCAGCUGACGCGUGAAGUUGACCGCCUGGGGAGUACGGUCGC
rnacentral:rRNA from 1 species